ensembl:lncRNA
UGAGAUUUUAGAAGAGCCGGGUGCAUCCUGACAGAAAGACACAAGCUGAGCUAAUAAGAACUGCAGCAGAUUUUGCAUGCACGUUGCAAACUGUGUCCCGAAAGGAGCAGGAUGGGGUGGAAGAGGCAGCGGCCACUGGCAGAGGAACGCAGGGCUGAGUCACGGCCGCAUCGUGCCAGCACUGCCUGCCCGCUGCCUGCAGUGCCUGGGAGAGUUCUCCGUGUUUCUCUCUCUUCCCUUUCUGCACAGGAAUCGUUACUCACUCUGCACACAAUGCCAGUUAAAGUUGCCCUGGAUAUUAUCUCUGCUGUGAUUCACUCCUUUGCACCAACUUAAUUCUCCUGAAAGACUGUUUCACUUUUUGUGACUAAUUAGAGGCUCUGUGCUUAACUGUGACUCUGAACCUCAACAGCAGCUGAGCGACAAGGGCAUGGGAGCCACUGCUCUCAGCUGCCUGUGAUGCCAACAGGAGCAGUGAGUAAUGCUGCUGGGACACUGAGAUGUGCAGAAAAUAUGCACCUGGAUCCUCAUGGAAGGGAAAUCAGAUAUAGAGCCUCUGGGUUGUUUUCCUCCUG